GUAGUAAAGAAUAGUGUUACUGAGUAACUUAAAUUUCGCAGACCUCGCUUCCAUCCCCAGUGGCCGGAUCUGGAUUUGCAAAUAUCAAAAGUUUUAAAGGCCCAACUAGCAAUUUUCUUUUUGUAUGUUAAGGAUAGGCAAUACACUGUGCAGACAGGCGUCAGAUUUCCACAGGACUUCUACUGUAGUCUAUAUAUAUCUAUAUAUAUGUGCGCGCGCCACCGCAUCUCAUCUCUCCAGAAGAUCGAGAGAUACAGAGGAAGCUAAAUAUUCGUUUCUUUGGUUUGUAAGCUUUCUGCUAGACAGGAUGCCGUUAGAAUGCUUCAUAUGGAUUCAACACUGUUGGAAUGAAAGAUUUAAAAAGUUCCUGAAUCGAAAAGAAGGAAAAUUUCAACAUCUUCCUGAUAGUAUCAUUGUUGAAAUCUUAAGUAGGCUACCUUCAGAACAACUUAGCAAUUGUCAACUCGUUUGUAGAAAAUUUAGGGAUUUAACCUCCACUCCUUAUUUUCGUGAAAUCCACAGCGUCAAAAGAGCUUCUCCAAUUGUUCUUGUUCAAUAUUUCAACCCUGGUAUUCAUGAUAAGGAUAUGCAAGUUUAUCUUCUCGACGAAAAAACCAAGGACGAGAACCAGAAACUGAAUUGUACGGGUCGUUUCUUCAUGUAUUGUCUUAUUCUCUGUAGCUGUAAUGGGUUGAUUUUAUUUGACUCGAGAUGUAAAUUGUGCAUAAACAACCCUUUGACUGCAGAAUUAAUAUUCUUAAAAAACCCUUAUCAAUCAGGUGGUUUUGGAUGUGGGUUUUACUUUCACACAUCCGAAAAAGAAUAUAGGUUGCUUUAUUUGCAUUCUAAAAGCAACUAUUUGAGUAUUUUAUAUGCAGCCCUUCAGAUGAUGAACAAUGGAGAAGCCUUUGCACUUUUCUUUACAAGCCAAAUUAUCAGGUACCGCCUGUAAUUGCAAAUGGGUUUCUUUAUUGGAUUGCCAGUUAUAAAAGAACUGCUGAUGCUGAUUAUGCUUCUAUAUGCAAAGCAUCUAUCGUUGCAUUUAAUAUUGAUACCGAAGAAUUCAAGAUUAUGGCUCAUCCUGGUAAUUUAUGUAGUCUGCCUCGAAUCGAGCAUAGCCAGUCAAAAAUGCAACUUGUACGGAUAGAAAGUGAUGAUAACUUGUUGUUUUGUCGAUUGAAUGAGAAAGAUUACAUAAAGAUUUGGGUGCUUCAAGAUUCUGCAAAUUGGAUUUGGGUUGAGAAAUAUAAUGUUGAUUUGAAAUGGGACUUGAGAAUUUACCAAUUCUUCGAUCAUGCUGGUCCCGACAAUGAUAUAAGGCUUGUGAACAUCCAGGAUGGAGAACUGUUACUCUUUUGGUCUAAUAGAGGACUGUUUAGGUAUCCCUUCCUGCGGAAAACGAUGAGGGAAAUCAAAAGAACAAUAGCAGGAAAGGAAAUAUCCAACCUAACAACAGAGAAUUUUUUAUCAUAACUUACACCAGAGCUUUGAGUCUUCAGGUUUCAAAGGUUAGAGGAGUAGGGUUUUGAGUACUUAGCUGCAUGUUUACAGUGAGAAAUCUCAAAUUUGAGGAAUUCCUUUUAUUUUCAGAUUUCUUUUUAUCAUGAAGUAUUAUAAUCCCUUUGAGGAUGAUGAUAAUAAAUUUCCCGGUUAGAUAUU